UGGUACACUUCAAUUGUCCAAGGACC
rnacentral:piRNA from 1 species